GCUGGGUAUUGUAGUGCAUGCCUGUAAUCUCAGACACCAAGAAGGUUGAGGCUGAUGGAUCUCUUGAAUUUUGGAGUUUUGAAUGGCAGUGGGCUAAACUGAUUAGGUAUCCAUCCUAAGUUCAACAUCAAUAUGGGUGAGCUGCCAGGACUGAGGAGGCCACAGGUUGCCUAAGGAGGGGCAAACAGGCCCAGGCUGCAAAUAGAGGAGGUCAAAGUUCCCUUGCCAAUCAAUAAGUAAUGGGAUUGGGCCCCUGAAUAGCACCUGAACUUCCAGCCUGGGUAAAAUAGAGAGACUCAGUCACA
rnacentral:SRP_RNA from 1 species